GAAUUUUGGACAAUGGGCGAAAGCCUGAUCCAGCAAUGCCGCGUGCAGGAUGACGGCCUUCGGGUUGUAGACUGCUUUUUUACGGAACGAAAAGCGUUGGGCUUAUAGCCUGGAGUAGUGACGGUACCGUAAGAAUAAGCACCGGCUAACUACGUGCCAGCCGCCGCGGUCAUAAGUAGGGUGCAAGCGUUCAUCGGAAUUACUGGGUGUAAAGCGUGCGCAGGCGGUUUUGUAAGACAGGGGUGAAAUCCCCGGGCUCAACCUGGGAACUGCCUUUGAGACUGCAAGGCUAGAGUACGGCAGAGGGGUGUGGAAUUCCGCGUGUAGCAGUGAAAUGCGUAGAUAUGCGGAGGAACACCGAUGGCGAAGGCAACCCCCUGGGCCUGUACUGACGCUCAUGCACGAAAGCGUGGGGAGCAAACA
rnacentral:rRNA from 1 species